rnacentral:lncRNA from 1 species
UUAAGGGUUAAUUGUUAAGACCCACAGGUUAAGAUAAUAAAAUCUGGGGAGUAAUAGUGCAACUUAUUUCCUGAUAAAUCUUUUUCCUGGAAAAAUCAUUUAUUACAGUCCCUGGGAGAGAACAAUAUUCUGAAGUUAACAUUUGCAAUUCUUCCGACCUUCCAACUCUUUCCCUUGCUAAUUACCUAAAGCAAUUUAAGAGAAGACAAAUUGAUCAACAUAAUAAUUAUUGUUGAAAACUGACUCUCGGUUAUUAGUGUUUUGAGCACUUGAAAUUUUUGUGUGGGCUUCUGUUAUAGUUUUGUAAAUUAUCAUGGAUCUCUGCUUAGUUUACUUUUAUAUUCCCUCAGUUUCAUACUUUUUAUAAUCAAUUUUAGGUCAGUUAUACAUACCUAUCAUAUCACUAUCCAUAACAUAAAAAACCUUGUGCUAAUUUUAAUACAAACAGUAGGGCAUUAGUUAGAAAAUUGAAAAUAAUCUGGAUGGAACAACUUCAAUAAGAAUGGUUUACUUGAAACCCUUUAAAGGUUUUACAAAUGAUAAGAUAACUUAUGUAAAAUAUGAUAGUGUGACUCAAGUCAAUAAAACUUAAAUAUAGUCUAGGAUUUGGAAAUAUAAAAAUCUAGGUUAUAUCAGUGGUGGUAUCUGCAUACAUGAAAAUGUCUGGAUGCAUGUGACUUUUCCUAUGAAUUUUUUUCACUUAAUUUUAUGUAAUUACUCUGUAGUAAGUUUUGCAUUUGUAAUAAGGAAAACUUAGAAUUAAUCUAAAAAUAAAAUUUGCUAUAAAAUGAAAAUAAGUAGGAUUGGGUGAUUAAAAAUUGUAAUUCAUUAUAAACCAAUUAUUUCACUUCUGCUGGUUUGCUCUGUUUUAAUUUUAUGCUUAGGUGUAAAAAACAGUUUGUUCCAAUUAAUUCCUCUUGUUGGACAUUUAAUUUUACUUCCCAA